ACAGCCCUCAUCCUUACACUCACGACUUCACACACACACACAAAUAUCGCAAAAGCCAAAAGCAAAGCGGCAGCUAGCAGCCAACGCAGAGAAGAGAAUGGAGGAAGCGCAGCCAGCGCAUGCAGCCACCUAACCCGUGACUGGAUCUACUGCUCCGCGACAUCCGUAGCUACCAGAUCUGCUGUUGCCGGAUAUCUACAGGAUCUGUUGCUGCUGGAUCUGCUGCGCUGCUAUCGGAUCUGCUGCUGCAGCCUCCACCAUCACCGAGUUCCACCGCGAAGGCGCGAACCGGCAACCCGAAUUCUUUUCUUUUUUUGAUGUUUUGAUGGGAUAUAAUAAUAUAUUAUAUAUUAUAUGUUAAUUGCUAAGUAUAUGUAUUGUUAAAUGUUAAUAAUAAAAUGAGGGAAAUUCUUGUAUGGAAAAUUUUGGAG
rnacentral:lncRNA from 1 species